rnacentral:rRNA from 1 species
UACGGGGGGGGUAAGCGUUGUUCGGAAUUACUGGGCGUAAAGGGCUCGUAGGCGGCCAACUAAGUCAGACGUGAAAUCCCUCAGCUUAACUGGGGAACUGCGUCUGAUACUGGAUGGCUUGGAUCCGGGAGAGGGAUGCGGAAUUCCAGGUGUAGCGGUGAAAUGCGUAGAUAUCCGGAGGAACACCGGUGGCGAAGGCGGCUUCCUGGACCGACACUGACGCUGAGGCGCGAAAGCUAGGGGAGCAAACGGG